rnacentral:rRNA from 1 species
UACGUAGGGUGCGAGCGUUGUCCGGAAUUAUUGGGCGUAAAGAGCUCGUAGGCGGUCUGUCGCGUCGAUCGUGAAAACUUGGGGCUUAACCCUGAGCUUGCGGUCGAUACGGGCAUGACUGGAGUUCGGCAGGGGAGACUGGAAUUCCUGGUGUAGCGGUGAAAUGCGUAGAUAUCUGGAGGAACACCGGUGGCGAAGGCGGCAUCCUGGACCGGUAUUGACGCUGAGGCGCGAAAGCCAGGGGAGCAAACGGG